rnacentral:tRNA from 1 species
GAGGGUAUAGCUCAGUGGUAGAGCAUGUGCUUAGGUCCUGGUUUCAAAACCUCCAGUGCCUUCA